UACGUAGGGUGCGAGCGUUAAUCGGAAUUACUGGGCGUAAAGGGUGCGCAGGCGGUUUUGUAAGACAGAUGUGAAAUCCCCGGGCUUAACCUGGGAACUGCGUUUGUGACUGCAAGGCUAGAGUACGGCAGAGGGGGGUGGAAUUCCGCGUGUAGCAGUGAAAUGCGUAGAUAUGCGGAGGAACACCGAUGGCGAAGGCAACCCCCUGGGCCUGUACUGACGCUCAUGCACGAAAGCGUGGGGAGCAAACAGG
rnacentral:rRNA from 1 species